CGAAGAACAACACUAUUCCAGUAUUAAGGCGACUGCAGCACUCGAGGUGAUGACCUGGGGUUACGAUUCACCCCCAGGCAGUAUCUUGGGGCGCCGCGCUCCGUCAGGUGACAGGGGCCCCUCUUGAGUGCUUGUGUGGGUAAGGUGACGCGCGGUUCCUCAGCCUCCGGGAGCAGCAAUGCAGACACUUACGGGCUGUACCGCGUCCCAGCACGUUCAGUGGACACCAGGAAAGGAGAGGGGCGGGAGGACGUGGAAGACCCUCGAAGCAGAGAACAGAGCCGCCACUCCAUCACAAACGCCACUUCCACCACGUUCAUCUCCUCCCACUGAGCCACUUGCAGCCCCACUGAUAAUCCGGUGAGAGAUGGGCCCGGAAAAAAAAGAGCACGUUUAAUUAGAUUACUGAAAAAAAGAACUCAUGGUAGGAAUGAGCAGGAUAAAAAAUGUAAACAGU